rnacentral:rRNA from 1 species
CAGCAGCCGCCGCGGGAAUACGAAGGGUGCAAGCGUUACUCGGAAUUACUGGGCGUAAAGCGUGCGUAGGUGGUGGUUUAAGUCCGUUGUGAAAGCCCUGGGCUCAACCUGGGAAUUGCAGUGGAUACUGGGUCACUAGAGUGUGGUAGAGGAUAGUGGAAUUUCCGGUGUAGCAGUGAAAUGCGUAGAGAUCGGAAGGAACAUCUGUGGCGAAGGCGACUAUCUGGGCCAACACUGACACUGAGGCACGAAAGCGUGGGGAGCAAACAGGAUUAGAUACCCCUGUAGUCCCUGUCUCUUAUAC